UAUUAUCUACCUCUAGCCUGAAACAAAGCAUAGUAUUAAUUUCAAAGAAAAAAAAUGAAAUCAAAAUUGAAUUCAAAACAAUCCAUGCCGGCUGCAUCUAGCUUACAUAAAGCAUAAAUCUAGAGUCGGUGUUGCAAGAAGUGCAAUGACGAAAACAUACCAAACCAGCUUUGAACGAGGCUUAAUUACAUUUUGAAGAAUGCGGUGCGUUUGCGAAUGAUAAAGACAUCAGGCCAGAAGGAGUGUAACUGUUGCAGCAGCAAUGAUAAAUGAAUUCACACCGACAACUCAACUGGCCAACGGAAAAGGCAGGUGUAAGUGACUACCAAAGGCAUACGCAGUCGAAUAGCAAGGCGCAUAAAGGCACCGCAGUUGGAAAGCGCUCUCAGCAGUUGGAAAUGUUGAAUGAGUUGGCAUAAAGUGGCAUGAAGUGGAGAAAGUACGCUUUAAACAUUCCGAAAGUUUUCGGUUAGACAUUUACGACGGACAGUUACAUCGAUUCGACAAGCUCCUGCUGUGCCGAGGAGCAUCACUUGUGUUUUACGUCUCCUUUGUAACUCCUUUGCCUAACCUGGAUUUUUUUUUUUAAAUUUUGAAUAGCCAGCAAAUGGAGUGCUCUGAUAAAUUACAAUUAUAGUUUUGAGAUUCGAAUAUUUUGGUUAUUUCCGUUUUGGUCAAGUCUUCUACUGUCAUAAGCAUCUAGUAGACAUAUGUGAUAGUGGAUGAUUGUAAAUGAUUUAUGAUGAUUUUGAAUUUAGUUAGCAAAAUUGGAGCUAAAAGGCGUAUUAAAUUCAUAAAAUGGAAUUUCAUAAUAUAUAUUUGUAUGAUUAUAUGCAACACCGGAAGAAUUUAAGAGUAAUCCAUUAUACACUUAAAUACUCUUACGAAACUCAGAGGUGGAUCUAAAUAAGAAAAAUAGAUAUGAAUUUGAAAUUAUUAUUUUAAAAAGAACCAAGAAGCGAUUACAGCUUUUUCACCCUUCAAAAAUUAUUAUUUUUAUUUUCCUAAAAAAUAUCAAACUUGUGGCAACAUCAGAAAUACCAAUGUAAUUUUUAUUCCCAGCAAACGAUGCUGUAUGUAUUCUUUAUUAACCGUUUAGCAUUUUUUCGCUAAUACCCGCCGUGUGCUCAAUAAAUCUACACCACCGUUUAACUUUAACUUUGUCGGUGUCAAGGUGAACACCAACCAUGCAAAGUCGGAACAUUAAAUUCAACGCGCUUGAGAGCAACUCUGGCUACACAACGAAAUCAAUUCGUGCCACCUGCCACUUUCGCCAGU